rnacentral:rRNA from 1 species
CGUACUCGGGCUCGCCCGGUAUGACUUUUACCUUCACCCCUUGUCUAUAGUUACCACUGUUGCCUCGGCGAGUCGUAGGCUCUUGUCUCCGUCGGCUUCUUUGAAGUUCUCGUGUACUUGCCGCAGGAUAUUUAUUAAAUUCUUGUAAACAGAAGUCUGAAUAAAUAUUUUAAUAUUUUAAAACUUUCAACGACGGAUCUCUUGGUUCUGGCAUCGAUGAAGAACGCAGCGAAAUGCGAUAAGUAAUGUGAAUUGCAGAAUUCAGUGAAUCAUCGAAUCUUUGAACGCACAUUGCGCCCUUUGGUAUUCCGAAGGGCAUGCCUGUUCGAGCGUCAUUUCAAACUCUCAAGCCCAGCUUGGUAUUGGACGGUUAGUCUGCUUACAACAGACUCGUCAGAAAGACCUCGGCGGUGGUUCAGAAGCCUCAAGCGUACCAGAAAUACUCGCUUUGUUAGGCCUUUUGGACUGCUCGCUCCAAAAACCUUUUUAAAAUUUCAAGAUUGACCUCGGAUCAGGU